GUCUGAUGUGAAAGCCCACGGCUCAACCGUGGAGGGUCAUUGGAAACUGGGGAACUUGAGUGCAGAAGAGAAAAGCGGAAUUCCACGUGUAGCGGUGAAAUGCGUAGAGAUGUGGAGGAACACCAGUGGCGAAGGCGGCUUUUUGGUCUGUAACUGACGCUGAGGCGCGAAAGCGUGGGGAGCAAACAGGAUUAGAUACCCUGGUAGUCCACGCCGUAAACGAUGAGUGCUAAGUGUUAGAGGGUUUCCGCCCUUUAGUGCUGCAGCUAACGCAUUAAGCACUCCGCCUGGGGAGUACGGUCGCAAGACUGAAACUCAAAGGAAUUGACGGGGGCCCGCACAAGCGGUGGAGCAUGUGGUUUA
rnacentral:rRNA from 2 species